CUGCUGUUCUUCAAUGUCAUUUUACUUACAUAGUUGUUAUUAUUACUAACUAAUAAUAAGCUUUCUCUCUGAGCACUUAGCAUGUGUCAGCUGAACGCUAAGCACUGCACAUAAAUGCUCUCACUUAGUGAAAAAACUAGAAGCCUGGCACUGUCCCCAGUAACGGAUUACCAAUCAUUUAGUGGGAGCUCAGAGUGCUUAUAUAACAUGCCCAAGGCCAUGUGGGAGAUAGGAUUCAACCCCAGCUCUCUGAAAUCAUCACCACUAUCUUAGAUGUGAAAGGAAUGGAGGGAAGAUGCUAAUUUAUUGAGAUUCUCCAUUAGAAUGGCUGUAAUGUUGGCAGUAAAUAUGAAACCUUCUUUUACACACCAAUAUUUACAAGAAUGGCAUAUUCACAUGCAGUGUGUGAGGGGCUAUCAUCAAAUCUAUUACAGAUGUAAAUGAGCAGUUUGAAGGGAAUAAGGAUCACAAAGGUAAACACAAUCUUUGUGUUAUUUAUUUUUCUAAAACAAAAUGGG